rnacentral:tRNA from 1 species
GGCGGCCUUCCGGAACUGGGUCACGACGGCCUGCUUCGGCCGGGCGGGCGAGAGCGCGACGUGACCGGCCUCGCUGUUCGGGCCGAUGGGCUCCCA